rnacentral:rRNA from 1 species
UCCCAGACUCCUACGGGAGGCAGCAGUGGGGAAUAUUGCACAAUGGGGGAAACCCUGAUGCAGCGACGCCGCGUGGAGGAAGAAGGUCUUCGGAUUGUAAACUCCUGUCCUUGGGGACGAUAAUGACGGUACCCAAGGAGGAAGCACCGGCUAACUACGUGCCAGCAGCCGCGGUAAAACGUAGGGUGCAAGCGUUAUCCGGAUUUACUGGGUGUAAAGGGAGCGCAGGCGGCACGGCAAGCCUGAUGUGAAAGCCCGCGGCCCAACCGCGGGACUGCAUUGGGAACUACCGGGCUGGAGUGCCGGAGAGGUAGGCGGAAUUCCUAGUGUAGCGGUGAAAUGCGUAGAUAUUAGGAGGAACACCAGUGGCGAAGGCGGCCUACUGGACGGUGACUGACGCUGAGGCUCGAAAGCGUGGGGAGCAAACAGGAUUAGAUACCCCAGUAG